UACGUAGGGGGCAAGCGUUGUCCGGAAUCAUUGGGCGUAAAGAGCUCGUAGGCGGUCUGUUACGUCCGCUGUGAAAACCCAGGGCUUAACCCUGGGCUUGCAGUGGAUACGGGCAGACUAGAGGCAGGUAGGGGAGAAUGGAAUUCCCGGUGUAGCGGUGAAAUGCGCAGAUAUCGGGAGGAACACCGGUGGCGAAGGCGGUUCUCUGGGCCGACACUGACGCUGAGGCGCGAAAGCCAGGGGAGCGAACGGG
rnacentral:rRNA from 1 species